ACUUGUCAAUUUGCAACUUGCAACUUCGCUCUCGUGUUUCAUUGGUCCCCCUCUUUUGUCUCCCGAUCAAGCGUGCUGCGACGUGCGCAUUGACUCCCGUGUUUGUUUUGACGAAGUGCAGACGAAAUCGAUCAAUUACGUGUUUUGUUGAAAUUUUGGGUGUUAUAAAUUCGCCGUCGCGAUGACUAUCCUCAAGAAGCCGAUCUCGAGUGAGAAGAAGGACAAACUCGCGCCUCUAGUACAAAAUGACCAGUUGGCAACAGCUGCUUUGGAACGAGACUCUUAAUUCCUUGGUCCCUCUCUAACCUGCUGUUCCCAGUUAUUUUGAGAAGUUUUGAGCUUUUUUUGCGAAUUUGAGAACUUUCACGGUCUGAUUGGUGGGUGCAUAGUAAGAAGGUUACAAGUCUUUGAAAGUCGUACGUGUGAAGAAGGUGGAAGUAGCUCAUGAAUACAUAAUUUUCGCUAAUUAUUUAUGAAAAAAAUCCUGAGGAUGGAGUCAUUUGGUUUUGGACCGAAGCACUCGGAACGGUGUAGACAAGAAAAUUUAAGUUCUUUGUUGUGGUACCGACAGGACGUGGUGGAGGGUCUGAUUGUGUAGUGUCCUGAUAAGCAACGCAGCCGAAACGUCUUUAAAUAAAAUUUAUAAAAAUUUA